GCCCUCGUGGCCUAAUGGAUAAGGCAUCGGUCUCCUAAACCGGGGAUUGCGGGUUCGAAUCUCGCCGAGGGUA
rnacentral:tRNA from 1 species